UUGGACUUAUUUUUAGUAGGCGGCUUAAUACCUACAACAAUGUGUACUGGGAAACAAAUUAGCCCGGUCCAGUGCUGGUCGAGAUGCCCCGUCUGCCUGGGUCUGUGUGGGCGCCGGGGUCUGGGCGGGCACCGGUAUCGCGUCGAGGUCCUGCCUGGAGUUGAGACGGAUCUUGUGACCACCGUCCGGAGACUUGAGGAAGACAUUGCCAUCCUGUGUCCAGCAGUUUUUCAUGCCAAACCGGCGACGGGCUUCAAGGAAGAUGUCUCGUCUUCUCGCUGUCAGGAACUCGCAGAUGGAGAUCGCCGUGCCUUUGAGCACCUUUUUCUUGUCCCACACAAGUGCCCUUGUAGCCCUCUCACUAAACCGGACCAGAAUGGGACGUGGUCGGUCUGUCGCUGAAUGAGAGCCACUGUGAAGUCGGAAGCACUGUUUUAUCUGGGACUGCUUGAAGUCACUGAGACCGAGUUUCUCAACACACACAGCCGUCACAACAGUGGAGAUCUCUUCAUCAGGGGAAUCACUAACACCACGGAAGAGCAGGAACUUUCGUCUCCCCUGGUUGUCGAGAUCAUCGGAGACCUGGGCAACAGCUGAUAUCUGCGUCCUCAGGAGAUCGAGUGCUUGGAGCAUGCACUCCCUGAAGCUCCGAAAGUCUGCUGCCAGCUGAUCCAGGCUGGGAGUGGUGGUGCUCGUGGCGGCCAGGCGAGCAUCAAAGGCGGCCAGCCCCUGGCUCAUCUUGGCCUCCAACUUGUUGAUGGCAGCCACUGGGUCGGGUGAUGCCUGUGUGGGCUUGCUGUUGGUUCUCUUCUUCAUGUUGUGAUAGAUUUUUGAUGUGUCAGCAGUGGAUUGGAUGAAGUUGUUAAUUAAAGUGCAUAAGCCAG